GGUUGGAUGGCCGAGUGGUCUAAGGCGCCAGAUUCAGGAUCAGCAUCCUAUUGGGUGUGUCUCAUGUGCUUUUAUGUACAUUCUGGUCUUCACGGGCGUGGGUUCGAAUCCCACUCCAAUCA